GCAGAUGCUGGGCUGCCCUUCCUUGUUAGAGAUAAGAACCAGCAGGCAAAGCUGCAGCCAGGAAAUCUGGACCUCCUUCCCCAGUAACCUGUGGAGAUUCAGUUUCUGUUGAGCAUAUAUGCUGGGAAGGGAAACUACUAGGAAAGGCAACUGGUUCCAGUGUACCAGAGCUCCACUAAGCUGGUCUAGCAGAUCUGGCUGGCUCACCAGGGCAGCACCAGAGUGAGAAAAAUCUAUGGGAGAAUGAACUAUCAAUAUAAGUGCACAUUUAACACUUCCUUGAAGGUCAGCGCGGAAUUGCUCUCGUUUCAAAAGCCUGCUGCCUGCUGGGAAGGACAGCCAGCCGCCAGUUCCAGACCAGGGAAGAACCCAUUGGCCUCUGGUUCAGAGGGCAGGUGUGUGAAAACUGGUUUUAAAAAUCUAGAAAAACAACAAUGAAUUUUAAGAGACUUUUGGGGGCUGCAGAAUCUAAUGGAAACAGGAUGAAGGAUGGAGCAUGUUUGUGCUAUCUUGUAUGAAACCCUACUACUACCACCACCACCACCACCACUACUAAUG